rnacentral:rRNA from 1 species
UACGUAGGGUGCAAGCGUUGUCCGGAAUUAUUGGGCGUAAAGAGCUCGUAGGCGGUCUGUCGCGUCUGGUGUGAAAAUCCAGGGCUUAACCCUGGACCUGCAUCGGGUACGGGCAGACUAGAGUGCGGUAGGGGAGACUGGAAUUCCUGGUGUAGCGGUGAAAUGCGCAGAUAUCAGGAGGAACACCGGUGGCGAAGGCGGGUCUCUGGGCCGAUACUGACGCUGAGGAGCGAAAGCGUGGGGAGCGAACAGG